AUUUGCUGUAGAGGGCGUUUCUGUGUGUGUUGACUCAGAAACAAGCUUUGGUUCUUCUUUGGGAAAGGCGCAGUGCUGUCAUGUAUGCUGGAGUGAUGUGGUGGUCCCCACCCCCUCGGCCUCUGUCACACUGGUGACAGGUCUGUCCCGACUAGGAGCAGAUUGAAUUGCAAAUCUCCUGCCUUCUGUUGGCGUCCGAGGCUGAACUGGCCCUUUGCAGCCGGCCAUUCAUGUGGUAAUGUGAAGUCUGAGGGGCAAGGGGGGCCCUGGGGCCACAGAGAGUCACAUGAGGGGACACUCCGGACUGACUUCCAAAAAUACCAUUAUCACUAUGAAUUUGGACUAUCACACUGUUUACCCUGUAGUUUGCUCUCAGCGUUGGUGCGAUACAGUCCUCCAUGGUGAGCGAUGGUCCGUGCUGCUUCCAGGUGACUCAUGACCACAUCCACUCCAGACUCCACGCUCUCCCAGGACUCCAGCGCCUCUCCGGCCG